rnacentral:rRNA from 1 species
CAGCAGCCGCGGUAAUACGGAGGGUGCAAGCGUUAAUUGGAAUUACUGGGCGUAAAGCGCACGCAGGCGGUCUGACAAGUCAGAUGUGAAAUCCCCGGGCUUAACCUGGGAACUGCAUUUGAAACUGUCAGGCUGGAGUCUUGUAGAGGGGGGUGGAAUUCCAGGUGUAGCGGUGAAAUGCGUAGAGAUCUGGAGGAAUACCGGUGGCGAAGGCGGCCCCCUGGACAAAGACUGACGCUCAGGUGCGAAAGCGUGGGGAGCAAACAGGAUUAGAUACCCCUGUAGUCCCUGUCUCUUAUCC